rnacentral:rRNA from 1 species
GCAAGUCGAGCGGAUUGAUGGGAGCUUGCUCCCAUCAGUCAGCGGCGGACGGGUGAGUAACACGUGGGUAACCUGCCUGUAAGACUGGGAUAACUCCGGGAAACCGGGGCUAAUACCGGAUAACUCAUUUCCUCGCAUGAGGAAAUGUUGAAAGGUGGCUUUUAGCUAUCACUUACAGAUGGACCCGCGGCGCAUUAGCUAGUUGGUGAGGUAACGGCUCACCAAGGCGACGAUGCGUAGCCGACCUGAGAGGGUGAUCGGCCACACUGGGACUGAGACACGGCCCAGACUCCUACGGGAGGCAGCAGUAGGGAAUCUUCCGCAAUGGACGAAAGUCUGACGGAGCAACGCCGCGUGAGUGAUGAAGGUUUUCGGAUCGUAAAACUCUGUUGUUAGGGAAGAACAAGUACCGUUCGAAUAGGGCGGUACCUUGACGGUACCUAACCAGAAAGCCACGGCUAACUACGUGCCAGCAGCCGCGGUAAUACGUAGGUGGCAAGCGUUGUCCGGAAUUAUUGGGCGUAAAGCGCGCGCAGGUGGUUUCUUAAGUCUGAUGUGAAAGCCCACGGCUCAACCGUGGAGGGUCAUUGGAAACUGGGGAACUUGAGUGCAGAAGAGGAAAGUGGAAUUCCAAGUGUAGCGGUGAAAUGCGUAGAUAUUUGGAGGAACACCAGUGGCGAAGGCGACUUUCUGGUCUGUAACUGACACUGAGGC